CAAGCAAGCCACUUUGUCGCUGCGAAUUUAUUUCGGAGAGGAAAGUCUGGACACCAUAGAGAAGGCAUAGCGGGUAACACCCGUCCGUCGUGAGGCGAGGACAAGUGCAACAGAAAGCAGGUACAGUUCGGCUGUAGUGAAACCAGGUAAACUCUAUGCGGUGAAAUGCCAUGUAUACCAACAGUUAAGAGCUUCUCGUUCGUUGUUGGGGGGUAGGCAGCUCGAGACUUGGAGUAAUUCAAGUUCUAGAUAAAUGACAAAGCGUUAUAAUUUAUUGUAACUGACAGAAUCCGGCUUAUCGGCUUGCUUUUUUC
rnacentral:RNase_P_RNA from 1 species